rnacentral:rRNA from 1 species
CAAAUAUCCUGUGAUCCGGAGAUGUCUGAAUGGGGAAACCCACUUACCAUAAGGUAGGUAUUGCAACAUGAAUACAUAGUGUUGCAAGGCGAACGAGGGGAAGUGAAACAUCUCAGUACCCUUAGGAAAAGAAAUCAAUUGAGAUUCCCUCAGUAGCGGCGAGCGAAAGGGGAAGAGCCCAUUAAGUCAUAUAAGUUCUAGUGGAACGCUCUGGGAAGUGCGAC